rnacentral:snRNA from 1 species
AUACUCUGGUUUCUCUUCAGAUUGUAUAAAUCUUUUGCCUUUUACUAAAGAUUUCCGUGGAAAAGAACAGUUGUGAGGGUUUUUUUUAGGGGUUUAAAAAAAAAAAAA